AAGUCGUAACAAGGUUUCCGUAGGUGAACCUGCGGAAGGAUCAUUACUGAAAGGGGACUCCGGUCCCCGGGACAAGCCCCCGUCGAGCCCUUGGGCUCCCCGGGCGGUGACGCCCCUUCACCCUUUGUUUACCUUACCUCUGUUGCUUUGGCAAGGCCCCUGCCCGGGUGGUUCCAGGCUUGGGCUCUGCCAGAGGGCCCCAAUUCGUGGAUAGUUUUUGUUUGUCUGAGUACGAUAUAAUCGUUUACAA
rnacentral:misc_RNA from 1 species